rnacentral:rRNA from 1 species
AUACUGCAAGUCGAGCGAAUGGAUUGAGAGCUUGCUCUCAAGAAGUUAGCGGCGGACGGGUGAGUAACACGUGGGUAACCUGCCCAUAAGACUGGGAUAACUCCGGGAAACCGGGGCUAAUACCGGAUAACAUUUUGAACUGCAUGGUUCGAAAUUGAAAGGCGGCUUCGGCUGUCACUUAUGGAUGGACCCGCGUCGCAUUAGCUAGUUGGUGAGGUAACGGCUCACCAAGGCAACGAUGCGUAGCCGACCUGAGAGGGUGAUCGGCCACACUGGGACUGAGACACGGCCCAGACUCCUACGGGAGGCAGCAGUAGGGAAUCUUCCGCAAUGGACGAAAGUCUGACGGAGCAACGCCGCGUGAGUGAUGAAGGCUUUCGGGUCGUAAAACUCUGUUGUUAGGGAAGAACAAGUGCUAGUUGAAUAAGCUGGCACCUUGACGGUACCUAACCAGAAAGCCACGGCUAACUACGUGCCAGCAGCCGCGGUAAUACGUAGGUGGCAAGCGUUAUCCGGAAUUAUUGGGCGUAAAGCGCGCGCAGGUGGUUUCUUAAGUCUGAUGUGAAAGCCCACGGCUCAACCGUGGAGGGUCAUUGGAAACUGGGAGACUUGAGUGCAGAAGAGGAAAGUGGAAUUCCAUGUGUAGCGGUGAAAUGCGUAGAGAUAUGGAGGAACACCAGUGGCGAAGGCGACUUUCUGGUCUGUAACUGACACUGAGGCGCGAAAGCGUGGGGAGCAAAC